rnacentral:rRNA from 1 species
UAGGGAAUAUUGCACAAUGGGGGAAACCCUGAUGCAGCGACGCCGCGUUAGUGAUGAAGGCCUUCGGGUCGUAAAGCUCUGUCGUAUGGGACUAACAAAAUGAAGGUACCAUGCAAGAAAGGAUCGGCUAACUUCGUGCCAGCAGCCGCGGUAAGACGAGGGAUCCUAGCGUUGUUCGGAAUUAUUGGGCGUAAAGCGGGUGUAGGCGGACUUAUAAGUCAGGUGUGAAAUCCCAGGGCUCAACCCUGGAAGUGCACUUGAUACUGCAAGUCUUGAGUGUGGUAGAGGCUAUUAGAAUUCCUGGUGUAGUGGUGAAAUACGUAGAUAUCAGGAGGAAUACCGGAGGCGAAGGCGGAUAGCUGGGCCAACACUGACGCUGAGACCCGAAAGCGUGGGGAUCAAACAGGAUUAGAUACCCACGUAGUCCCUGAGCGGGCUGGCAAGGCGCAU